rnacentral:rRNA from 1 species
UACGUAGGCGGCGAGCGUUGUCCGGAUUUACUGGGCGUAAAGAGCGCGCAGGCGGUCGUUCAAGUCGCGUGUGAAAGCCCCCGGCUCAACUGGGGAGGGUCACGCGAUACUGAUCGACUCGAAGGCAGGAGAGGGAAGUGGAAUUCCCGGUGUAGUGGUGAAAUGCGUAGAUAUCGGGAGGAACACCAGUGGCGAAGGCGCUGCUCUGGGCCGAUACUGACGCUGAGGAGCGAAAGCGUGGGGAGAAAACAGG